UACGUAGGGUGCGAGCGUUGUCCGGAAUUAUUGGGCGUAAAGGGCUCGUAGGCGGUUUGUCGCGUCGGGAGUGAAAACCUUGGGCUUAACUCAGGGCUUGCUUUCGAUACGGGCAGACUAGAGGUAUGCAGGGGAGAACGGAAUUCCUGGUGUAGCGGUGAAAUGCGCAGAUAUCAGGAGGAACACCGGUGGCGAAGGCGGGUCUCUGGGCCGACACUGACGCUGAGGAGCGAAAGCGUGGGGAGCGAACAGG
rnacentral:rRNA from 1 species